UGAGUACGAGAUGCUACGGCAUCGAAGCAGUCUAUGUCAUACUUCCAAGAAAAGCUUGCAAUGUCAUAAACAAAUAAUGCCUGUACCAUAACCGACUCAGGUGGGUAGGUAGAGUAUACUAAGGGGCGCGAGAUAACUCUCUCUAAGGAACUCGGCAAAAUGACUCCGUAACUUCGGGAGAAGGAGUGCCUUAUUUUUAUAAGGUUGCAAUAACAAGAUCCAAGCAACUGUUUACCAAAAACACAGGUCUCCGCUAAGUCGUAAGACGAUGUAUGGGGGCUGACGCCUGCCCAGUGCCAGAAGGUUAAAGAAGUUGGUUAGCAUUAGCGAAGCUGAUAACUGAAGCCCUGGUGAACGGCGGCCGUAACUAUAACGGUCCUAAGGUAGCGAAAUUCCUUGUCGGGUAAGUUCCGACCCGCACGAAAGGCGUAAUGAUUUGGAUACUGUCUCGGAGAGGGGCUCGGUGAAAUAGACUUGUCUGUGAAGAUGCGGACUACCUGCACCUGGACAGAAAGACCCUAUGAAGCUUUACUGUAACUUGAGAUUGAAAUUGGACUUUAUCUGCGCAGUAUAGGUGGGAGACGUUGAAAAUAUUCUUGCGGGAAUAUUGGAGUCAUCAGUGAGAUACCACUCUUAUAAUGUUAGAUUUCUAACUUUGUAUCAUUAUCUGGUCAAAGAACAGUUUCAGGCGGGCAGUUUGACUGGGGCGGUCGCCUCCCAAACGGUAACGGAGGCGCACAAAGGUUUCCUCUGAACGUGUAGAAAUCGUAUCUAGAGUGUAAAGGCAUAAGGAAGCUUGACUGUGAGACCUACAAGUCGAGCAGGGACGAAAGUCGGUCUUAGUGAUCUGACGGUGCUGAGUGGAAAGGCCGUCACUCAACGGAUAAAAGUUACUCUAGGAUAACAGGCUGAUCUCCCCCAAGAGUUCACAUCGACGGGGAGGUUUGGCACCUCGAUGUCGGCUCAUCGCAUCCUGGGGCGGUAGUACGUCCCAAGGGUUGGGCUGUUCGCCCAUGAAAGCGGUACGCGAGCUGGGUUCAGAACGUCGUGAGACAGUUCGGUCCAUAUCCGGUGUAGGCGUUAGAAUAUUGAGAGGAGCCUUCUUUAGUACGAGAGGACCGAGAAGGACAUACCUCUGGUGUACCAGUUAUCGUGCCAACGGUAAACGCUGGGUAGCCAUGUAUGGAGAGGAUAACCGCUGAAAGCAUCUAAGUGGGAAGCCCACCUCAAGAUAAGUAUUCUCAC
rnacentral:rRNA from 1 species